rnacentral:lncRNA from 1 species
CCUUAGUAGCAUAGUGUCAAUUUUUAAGUUAUAUCUUCUGUAGUUUGUCAUAAGUCCCGUCUGUAAUUUGUUAAAAGUUCUUUAGUAGCAUAGUGUCAUAUUUUAAGUUAUAUCUUGUGUAGUUUGUUAAAAGCCCUUUAAAGUUCCUUGGUAGCAAAGUGUCAUAUUUUAAGUUAUAUCUUCUGUAAUUAGUUAAAAAGUCCCUUCUGUAGUUUGUUAAAAGUUCCUUAGUAGCAUAGUGUCAUAUUUUAAGUUAGUUAUCCCGUAGUUUGUUAAAAGUCCCUUAGUAGUAUAGUGUCAUAUUUUAAGUUAUAUCUUGUGUAGUUUGUUAAAAGCCCUUUAAAGUUCCUUGGUAGCAAAGUGUCAUAUUUUAAGUUAUAUCUUCUGUAAUUAGUUAAAAGUUCCUUCUGUAGUUUGUUAAAAGUUCCUAAGUAGCAUAGUGUCAUAUUUUAAGUGAAUUAUCCAGUAGUUUGUUAAAAGUCCCUUAGUAGCAUAGUGUCAUAUUUUAAGUUAUAUCUUUUGUAGUUUGUUAAAAGUUCCUUAGUAGCAUAGUGUCAUAAUUUAAGUUAGUUAUCCCGUAGUUUGUUAAAAGUCCCUUAGUAGCAUAGUGUCAAUUUUUAAGUUAUAUCUUCUGUAGUUUGUCAUAAGUCCCGUCUGUAAUUUGUUAAAAGUUCUUUAGUAGCAUAGUGUCAUAUUUUAAGUUAUAUCUUGUGUAGUUUGUUAAAAGCCCUUUAAAGUUCCUUGGUAGCAAAGUGUCAUAUUUUAAGUUAUAUCUUCUGUAAUUAGUUAAAAGUCCCUUCUGUAGUUUGUUAAAAGUUCCUUAGUAGCAUAAUGUCAUAUUUUAAGUUAGUUAUCCCGUAGUUUGUUAAAAGUCCCCUAGUAGCAUAGUGUCAAUUUUUAAGUUAUAUCUUCUGUAGUUUGUCAACGUCCCUUCUGUAAUUUGUUAAAAGUUCUUUAGUAGCAUAGUGUCAUAUUUUAAGUUAUAUCUUCUGUAGUUUGUUUAAAGUCCCUAAGUAGCAUAGUGUCAUAUUUUAAGUUAUAUCUUCUGUACUUUGUUUAAAGUGCCUAAGUAGCAUAGUGUCAUAUUUUAAGUUAUAUCUUUUGUAGUUUGUUAAAGUCCCUUAGUAGCAUAGUGUCCAUAUUUUAAGUUAUAUCUUCUGUAGUUUGUUAAAAGUCCCUCAGUAGCAUAGUGUCCAUAUUUUAAGUUAUAUCUUCUGUAGUUUGUUAAAAGUCCCUUAGUAGCAUAGUGUCCCAUAUUUUAAGUUAUAUCUUCUGUAGUUUGUUAAAGUCCCUUAGUAGCAUAGUGUCCAUAUUUUAAGUUAUAUCUCUGUAGUUUGUUAAAAGUCCCUUAGUAGCAUAGUGUCCAUAUUUUAAGUUAUAUCUUCUGUGUUUUGUUGAAAGUCCCUUAGUAAACUUUUUAUAUAAGUAUAUAUAGAAUGUGAUUACGGUAUCCUGAAUAGAAUCAAGGAUGGAUGGUGGAGGGUUUACAAUACUAGAGUAUCUGCAAGUUAAUUUCUGCUGGACAGCAAGGUGCGUUUUUAAAACACACCAGCAGUUUUCACUGCUCAGAUCCUUAAACUGCAGGUAGACGAUACAGUAUUGUGGGGUUAUAUAAUAGUUUUUUGUGGUUUUUUUUUCAAAAAUACUGUUUUAUUUGAAUGUACUAUUAUUGAUGAAAUCUUUUUUAUAUCUUUUUAUUGUAUAGAUUUUUUUUUAAAUACUGUGAAAGUGAUAUAAUCAGUUUGUCUAAUGAAAUAUAUUCAUAUUUCACCAUAAGGUAUUACCUG